GGGAAAGGCAAAUUGUCAACAAGCAGAAGCCAUAAAAAUUAGAAGAAGUAAAGAGAUAAGCCCCAGUAGGAAGGACUGUGGGUGUCUGUGUCCUGCCAAGUGGGGCGGAGUAGAGUGCUGGGUCCUGGGUUACAAACACCAGCCCCACAUGCCAGGCUGGCUGGAUAAGAGUCGUGGUGGGUGGGUGGGUGAGGAGUGCUGACAACACGGACACCAGGUCACACCCCCGGAGGCUCACUCACCAAGUCUGGAGGGGGCUGAGAAGUGUUGAUUCUUAACAAGCAUCCAGGAUUCCAAGUUAGGGAACCACUGUUCUGAUUGGUUCAUAUGAGUAUUCCUUUGUCUCAAGUUCAGAGUGGUGCCGUAGAAAGAACCUCUCUGAGCUUAGAAUCAGAAGACAUAUGUUGAAAUCCGGAUGGUGACUAUUCAGACGGCGUGGGCACCGGUGGUCCUCGGCUGCUUCUUGUCCUACAGUGACUGCGAAUUCACUUACAUACAACUAUGCUCUCCACACAUGCUGAAACUGGGGAUCUAAACAUAAAACACGGUCCCUGCUCCCCUGGGGGAGCACACAGUCAGACUGGGAAACGCAGAGAUAAUCAUCAGAGGAUGGGUACGCACCACAGCAGAGAUAGUAAGAGGGGCUGCAAAGCAGCCAGAAGAUGUGUGCGGCCCAGCAUGAGGUCACCGGACUUGACCUCAUUUCCUUUUUAAUGAGAAGGUGAGGCUGAAGCCGUAGGCCAAGCAGGAGCCUGCUGCCACAACCCAGGUGAGAGGCGGGGGUGCUGGACCAGAUGGGGGCAGAGGUGGGCGUGGUAAGAAGUGCUCAGAGCCUGGCUCAAUUCUGAAGUCACAGUCACCAUCAGGUUAGCUAACCUGAGUACAGAACCCUUGAGAGACGGGGACUCUCUCACCGUGAAACCAGGUUCUUCCGGAGCGUGAGACCGAACCCCAAGGCAACGACCAUCCGCUCUGACAUCACAGGAGCCGGCCAGCUGCCUCCCUCCUGACUCACGACUUCAUCUUCCCCGAGGUCAAGGAGAAGCAAGUGGCACCCUCACCAGCCUCCACCACGGCCCUUACACCUGCCGUCUGGUUUGGGUGGGAACGGGGAGCAGCCUCGGGCUUCAAAUCCCUGUCGUUGGCGGUGGGAACCUCUCAGAGCCUCAGUUUCCUCGUCUACAGGAUAUUCCGACCAAUAAGCAGCCUAUAAAGUUGAUAGUGUGUGUCCCAAAUGGAAAGGCCCCAGAGAGGGCCCUGCCAGGCCUGGGCUGGGUUCGACAUCCACCCCGCUGAUCCUUGGAACCAGGGAACGGGUGCGCCCCCUGCCCCGGGGACUCCAGGGACAGAAUGCCGCUAUUGAUAACCCCAUUAGAACCACUGGAUUGGGGGAAGAAUGGACCCCAACGGAACAGCGUCAGCAGACUGGUGAUAGUAGGAAAAAGAGCCCAUAUUAGUGAAGGAUGCAAAUAAGCAUAAAAAGGGAAAAUUGUGCAGUGAGGUAACGAGGACCCAAAGGAGAGAGCAGCAGAGUCUCUGAGGGUCUGUGGGAGGAAACAAUGAAACACUCACCUAAUUACCACCCAUCAGAGCAUCUGCCUCCCAGCGUUCACAGUUUAAUUUGAAAAUGACGAGAGCUCUGGUCCGUUGCUAAUUCGAUUCCCAAGAAGAUUACAAAGCUUCAAAAUCAGAAACAUCUGGACAGCAAGCUUCUGCGGUCCGUUUCCUACAGGACAAGUCAUAAAGGCCCGGCCAAAGUCUCAACUGAACUCUUCGUAUUUGAGUUAAAGAAGUUUUCCAUUUCUUCGUUUUAAAAUACUCUGGCAAAUACUUUGUGAAUUGUCUGCAUUUUGACUUGAAUUAGUGUUCCCAACUGCCAGUUGCUCUGAUUCUGCAAUUAAAUGCAUCCAUCCAACACUUUCAUGUUUCUGUCAUCUCUAGACCAGUUAGAUACGCAGGGAAGAGCAAUACAAACACAUUUUUAUCUAGUCGCUUGUCUCCUAAUCCCUUCCCAACAUGGAUUUUAAGGCUUUUGCAGAGAAAUAGGAAACACAUUGUACCAACUUUCUAUAAAAGCACAAAAGUCCCCAAAGACUUAAGGAUUGCAAUCAACUUUGGCACCCUAUUUAGUGCCAUGGGGCUAGCGGUUGAUGACUUUAUACUUUGGGGUGGAAAUAGGAGUUUAUUUUCAAAAUAGAGCCCCUCAUUACGCCAGUUGAACAGACUGCUGAGCAUGGACACUUGCUCUGAGGACAGAGGUCUAGCAACAAAUUCCGAAUCUCUCGUUCAUUCUGACCGCGGUGUCCAUCACAGUGUCGGGCCAUCUCUAUGCGGGGAUCCUGGGGCACCUCCAGCUCAGCAUGUCUGAACACCUACGGACUCAGGGGCGGGGGAGGAGGGGCUGCCUUCUUCCUCAGCUAAGGCAGGUCGGGGAGAGCCGGGGCUGUCUGUCUGUUUCCCAGGGCAGAGCUCUGACACAGCACCACCACCUCUGGACGCUGACCCCGCAUCACUCCACCACCAGGUGCUCUCAGCUCCACCCUCCUCGGUCUCCCCUUUAGCUGAAAACCUCCUAUUUCUACCUGGACUGCAACAUCUUACUCACGGCUGGGCACCCGGGUCUCAAUCCUGUGAGCCACACGGCCUUAAGGCUCGCUCACCUGAACUAAACCUCAGUCGGGCUUCUUCCCGACUCCAGCCCGGACCUUCCUGGCUUAGAGCAUUUACUUUAGGAAACUUGUCAUUGCACGUUCUUUCUCUGCCCCUUUGAGAUGCAAAUCUUUUGAAAAGCCUCUUGCCAGUUGUACAACUCAGGAAAUGUAUUUCUCAAGGACCUGGAGCCAUCCCUUUGGCACAUCAUCCUCAAGGAGUGGAGCAUCCACAUCUCCCAGUCUCUGCGGGAAGGUAGGAGCCUCAAUGUGGGGGCACCUUCCUCCAAGUCAGAAAACUACCUCCCAUAAUAAAGACACAAAAAAGUUUACCUUUCCUUUGGGGAAGGCCAAGGGGUAAAUAGGCGUGGCCUAUGACCCCCAUCCCUCCCACCGUUGAUUCAGCAGAGCUGAGCUCAGACUGCAUUCGGGCCUCCCUCCUCUGUUGCAGUAGCCUUGGAUAAAGUUUUCCUCGCCUGUUGAAAUUCGGCGCAAUUUUUGCUUUGACACUGAAUGAACUCAUGGAUCACCUGGGGAGCUGUAGACAUCGGGCGGGAUGCCUCAGCCACACCUGGGAACAUUCGACGAGACUCCCUGAGGUUGGGACUCAGACACCCUGACUUUCAAGGCUCCCCUCUGACCGCAUGGGGCAGUGAAGGUUGAGGAGCACAGACCUGAUCCCAGUGCUCUCCAGUCCUUCCCUUCAGGCCUUCCAGCUGCAGACUGUGGACUAGGGAGGCAGAACCUAAGAGGUUGUCAGUGCCUGCAAGUCAGGAAACUAAAGAAAAUGUGUGAUGUGGCGAAUGCGGUAUGGAAUCCAAGAGAGGCUGAUACACGUGGACAUUACCAAAAGAAACCUCAACAAAACUGGAGUCAGGAAGGCCUGCAGGGGAAGCUCUCCCACUGCAUCAUACAUCCUCAAUUGCUCCAAACAGGAAGAGGCAGGACCUAGCACCUCCCACAGGAAGUGCAACUACAGGAACUGUACUACUGAAGGAGGAAUUCUCUCCCCACCCAGCAACAGCCCAGCCAAUGAGAAGCCGUUGCUGCCCUGAUCUCUUACUCUCCCCCAAUGGACUUUCCUUUAGAACAGCCCCUACCGCUCCUCCUUUUCUCUAUAAAAACAAGCCCCUUCCUUUUGUCUCUCUGGAUUUUCUUAUGGUUUGCCAUAGGAUGCACAUCCCAAAUUGCCAUUCUUUUGGCUCUUCCCAAAUAAACUCCUUUUGCAAGUAAAACAACUGACCAAUUUACUUUUUAAGUUGACAACAACAGUCCCAAGCAGAAGUCAAGGCCCAUCUGAAGCGACAUGGCGUAAGUUUGUAGCAGGAACAUCAGUAUGGUUUGUGACCAUCUCCGGAAAUGUUGAACCCUUGAUGCAGACGUGAAAAGGGGUGAUUGGGGGGGAUCUAGGGAUAAGGCUGUGGGAGAUGAAAGGAGUAGAGGCUCUAAAACAGAGGCGAG
ensembl:lncRNA